rnacentral:rRNA from 1 species
UACGUAGGGUGCAAGCGUUAAUCGGAAUUACUGGGCGUAAAGCGUGCGCAGGCGGUUUUGUAAGACAGAGGUGAAAUCCCCGGGCUCAACCUGGGAACUGCCUUUGUGACUGCAAGGCUUGAGUGCGGCAGAGGGGGAUGGAAUUCCGCGUGUAGCAGUGGAAUGCGUAGAUAUGCGGAGGAACACCGAUGGCGAAGGCAAUCCCCUGGGCCUGCACUGACGCUCAUGCACGAAAGCGUGGGGAGCAAACAGG